CAGUAGCCGCGGUAAUACGAAGGGGGCUAGCGUUGUUCGGAUUUACUGGGCGUAAAGCGCACGUAGGCGGAUCGAUCAGUCAGGGGUGAAAUCCCAGAGCUCAACUCUGGAACUGCCUUUGAUACUGUCGAUCUGGAGUAUGGAAGAGGUGAGUGGAAUUCCGAGUGUAGAGGUGAAAUUCGUAGAUAUUCGGAGGAACACCAGUGGCGAAGGCGGCUCACUGGUCCAUUACUGACGCUGAGGUGCGAAAGCGUGGGGAGCGAACAGGAUUAGAUACCCCUGUAGUCCCUGUCUCUUAUAC
rnacentral:rRNA from 1 species